UAAAUGUUGAAAUUCGUUUGUUUGUCAGUCUGAUUUUUUGCACUGAGACAGCUCUAUGGCAUCGACAUGACGCAGCUUCUUGUACUAUAAUUCCACACCGUGUGAAAGCUGUUAGCAGUUAACGGUGCAUACGUUCAGCGUAAUGUCGACAGUCAAUUUAUUAGGCAAAGAUAUCGGGAGUCCAUCGCCGUACAAAUCGAGUCUUGUAGACGAUCUAUUGUUACUUACCAUGAGAUGAAUUCACAAUUUUAAAGCGCACAAAAAUGUAAUUAAUGAGGCUUAAUUCUGCACAACAUAUUUGGCUUGUACACAACUGUGUUUUGUAUGAUUUUAAUCAACGUCAAAUAAGGAUGUUCUGUGCAUAAUAACAUAAGGUUUGCAUUAUGUAAGAUGUAUAUUUUAAAUAAACGUGUGCAUCCGACUUUUUUUUUUCGUUAUUAUUUUUAUAAAAUUCUAAAU